rnacentral:tRNA from 1 species
GGGCCCGUAGCUAAGUCUGGUAAAGCGCCCGGCUCAUAACCGGGCGAUUCCUUGGUUCGAAUCCGAGCGGGCCCA